UUCUCAAUGAUGAGAACCACAUUGUCUUGAAGAGAGAUGAUGACUUAAAAAAAGUAAAGCCCUAGGAAAUUUAUGAGCGGA